rnacentral:rRNA from 2 species
GGUUGACCUCGGAUCAGGUAGGAAUACCCGCUGAACUUAAGCAUAUCAAUAAGCGGAGGAAAAGAAACCAACAGGGAUUGCCCUAGUAACGGCGAGUGAAGCGGCAACAGCUCAAAUUUGAAAUCUGGCCCUUGGGUCCGAGUUGUAAUUUGUAGAGGAUGCUUUUGGUGCGGUACCUUCCGAGUUCCCUGGAACGGGACGCCAUAGAGGGUGAGAGCCCCGUCUGGUUGGAUACCAAUCCUCUGUAAAGCUCCUUCGACGAGUCGAGUAGUUUGGGAAUGCUGCUCUAAAUGGGAGGUAUAUGUCUUCUAAAGCUAAAUAUUGGCCAGAGACCGAUAGCGCACAAGUAGAGUGAUCGAAAGAUGAAAAGCACUUUGAAAAGAGGGUUAAACAGUACGUGAAAUUGUUGAAAGGGAAGCGCUUGUGACCAGACUUGGGCCCGGUUAAUCAUCCACCGUUCUCGGUGGUGCACUUGGCCGGCCCAGGCCAGCAUCAGUUCGGCGCGGGGGAUAAAGGCUUCGGGAAUGUGGCUCCUCCGGGAGUGUUAUAGCCCGUCGUGUAAUACCCUGUACUGGACUGAGGUUCGCGCAUCUGCAAGGAUGCUGGCGUAAUGGUCAUCAGCGACCCGUCUU